UAAAUCACAAUGCGGGACUAUCAGUCUUGCAAUUGGAUUGAGAACAAUGUACAACUCUUAUCGAUAAGCCAUUGGAGGGCAAGUCUGGUGCCAGCAGCCGCGGUAAUUCCAGCUCCAAUAGCGUAUAUUAACGUUGUUGCAGUUAAAAAGCUCGUAGUUGAAGUGUGGGUGAUCGCUGUUGUGAGACUUCGGUCUCUCGAUAGUAAGUCACCCCCUUCCAGUAUCCAGUAGUGGGUAUUCAGUUACUUACUAUUGUGUGUUGGUCCUUUACUGUGAGAAAAUUAGAGUGUUCAAAGCAGGCGUUUGCUUGAAUAGAUUAGCAUGGAAUAAUAAUUGAAGGCUUUCGUGUUCGAUUUGAUUGGUUUGUUCAUGGAAGCAAGGUUAAAAGGAACAGUUGGGGGUAUUCAUAUUCACUAGUUAGAGGUGAAAUUCUCGGAUUUAUGGAAGAUGAA
rnacentral:rRNA from 1 species